UGGGGAAUCUUGCGCAAUGGGCGAAAGCCUGACGCAGCAACGCCGCGUGCGGGAAGAAGGCCCUCGGGUUGUAAACCGCUUUCAGAAGGAACGAAACUGACGGUACUUUCAGAAGAAGGUGCGGCCAACUACGUGCCAGCAGCCGCGGUGACACGUAGGCACCAAGCGUUGUCCGGAUUUAUUGGGCGUAAAGAGCUCGUAGGCGGUUCGGUAAGUCGGAUGUGAAAACUUUGGGCUCAACCCAAAGCGUGCACUCGAUACUGCUGUGACUAGAGUUCGGUAGGGGAGUGGGGAAUUCCUAGUGUAGCGGUGAAAUGCGCAGAUAUUAGGAGGAACACCGGUGGCGAAGGCGCCACUCUGGGCCGAAACUGACGCUGAGGAGCGAAAGCGUGGGUAGCAAACAGG
rnacentral:rRNA from 1 species